rnacentral:rRNA from 1 species
GACGAACGCUGGCGGCGUGCUUAACACAUGCAAGUCGAACGAUGAAGCCUAGCUUGCUAGGUGGAUUAGUGGCGAACGGGUGAGUAAUACGUGAGUAACCUACCUUUAACUCUGGGAUAAGCCCGGGAAACUGGGUCUAAUACCGGAUACGACCAAUCUCCGCAUGGGGUGUUGGUGGAAAGCGUUAUGUAGUGGUUAUAGAUGGGCUCACGCCCUAUCAGCUUGUUGGUGAGGUAACGGCUCACCAAGGCGACGACGGGUAGCCGGCCUGAGAGGGUGACCGGCCACACUGGGACUGAGACACGGCCCAGACUCCUACGGGAGGCAGCAGUGGGGAAUAUUGCACAAUGGGCGCAAGCCUGAUGCAGCGACGCCGCGUGAGGGAUGACGGCCUUCGGGUUGUAAACCUCUGUUAGCAGGGAAGAAGAGAGAUUGACGGUACCUGCAGAGAAAGCGCCGGCUAACUACGUG